GCUUACGGCCACACGGCCUGGUUCACCCCCGAUCUCGUUUGAUCUCGGAAGCUAAGAUAGGUUGGGCCUGGUUAGUACUUGGAUGGGAGACCGCCUAGGAAUACCAGGUGCUGUAAGCU
rnacentral:rRNA from 1 species